AACGAACGCUGGCGGCAGGCUUAACACAUGCAAGUCGAACGGAACCUCCGGGCUUAUUUGCGGUCGGGUGAGUACCGAGUGGUAACUUACCCUUUGGUACGGAAUAACUCAGUUAGACUUGAGCUCAUACAGCUUGGGCUCUUCCGGGGUAAGAUCUCUCGGCACAGGAUCGGCCCGCGUUGGCUUCGCUAGUUGGUGGUGUACUGGCCUACCAUGGCCAGGAUCCAUAGCUGGUCUGAUACGAGGAUCAUCCGCGCUGGGACUACGACACGGACCAGACUGCGACGGGAGGGAGCAGUGGGGAAUAUUGGACGAUGGGCGCAAGCCUGAUCCAGCCAUGCCGGGUGAGUGAGGAAGGUCGUAGGAUUGUAAAGCUCUUUCACCGGUGGAGAUAAUGACGGUAGCCGGAGAAGAAGCCCCGGCUAACUUCGUG
rnacentral:rRNA from 1 species